GACGAACGCUGGCGGCGUGCCUAAUACAUGCAAGUCGAACGAACCGCGACUAGGUGCUUGCACUUGGUCAAGGUGAGUGGCGAACGGGUGAGUAACACGUGGGUAACCUACCUCAUAGUGGGGGAUAACAGUCGGAAACGACUGCUAAUACCGCAUAGGACAUAGGAUCACAUGAUUCUGUGAGGAAAGGUGGCGCAAGCUAUCGCUAAGAGAUGGACCCGCGGUGCAUUAGCUAGUUGGUAGGGUAAAGGCCUACCAAGGCGAUGAUGCAUAGCCGACCUGAGAGGGUGAUCGGCCACAUUGGGACUGAGACACGGCCCAAACUCCUACGGGAGGCAGCAGUAGGGAAUCUUCCGCAAUGGACGCAAGUCUGACGGAGCAACGCGGCGUGAGUGAAGAAGGUCUUCGGAUCGUAAAGCUCUGUUGUUAGAGAAGAACAGCGCAUAGAGUAACUGUUAUGCGUGUGACGGUAUCUAACCAGAAAGCCACGGCUAACUACGUG
rnacentral:rRNA from 1 species